rnacentral:lncRNA from 1 species
GACCUACCCCAUCUGCCAGCACCGCCAUGGCCCCUGCCACUACUGUGUCUCCUUUCUCUCUACAUCUUCCCUCUUAUCUUCUCCAUCUUCAUUGCCUCUGUCGUCUUCUUUCUCUGAUCCUCCGAUCUCGAUUUUUAGAUUGUCUGCCUCCACCUCGAUCACCUCCAUGUCUCCCCACCACCCCACAUCGCUAUCGACGUCUCUCUCGGUCUCAAGAUCCAAGUCCGAAACUAGGACUUCUUCAAAAGGUAAAGAAUCGAGAAAUUCUAGAGGAGG